rnacentral:lncRNA from 1 species
UCGGUGACACUAACCGCACGGCUACGAAGCCCGAUGUGUUUGAUUGCACAUUGAAACCCCCUAAAUUACGACCCUGUGCCUAACUGGAGGUCGUCAGCUUCUGCAGCCCUAAAGAUCAGAAAAACCAUCCAUUCUACUGGCUACCUACAAGCAGCGAUGCAGUGAGCCUAGCCGAAUCACCAUACGAAGAGCAUGGAUCUCCCAGGCAUCCAAUCUCCUACUCUCUAGGCGACCCCAACAUCCAUCAUCAUCAUCAUCAUCAUCACCAUCAUCACUGCCGUAGGAGUGAUUAGGAAGACCUGAUAAGAGCGGCGAGAAUCGCUCUGAGAACCAGCGAGGUAAAACAUCGCAGCGGGAGACCAGCGGAUCGAUAGCCCGAAGAGUUGGAGCAACCUUCAGUCCAAAUCUACCAGGUCACCGAAACACACGGGCGGUGGACCCACGGCCGGUUAAUUUUAUCCGUUUGAUUCGUUCUUUAUUGUGUUAGUUGUAAGCUCCAAACCAAUUAAAUAGUUUAAGUCAAAUAAACCUGUUUGCAUGUUCGUGAUAAACUUUCAAUAAAUGUAGUGUUUAAUAGUCGCGAGUGUUAAAUUUGGUUGGUGUAAAUCCCGAAAAAGGCUAGAACGACCAGGUUGAGGACACUGUGCAUGCAAGAAGACCAUUGUGUGGCACUGAAACAAAGAAACAAAUCCCAUCGAUGUUGGAGACAGGAACCGUCUGAGCUAUCCACCCAAGGUAUUUGGACCUUCCCCAUCACGAUGUGUGAACCUACCAGCCAGGAGGUACAACUAUAAUCGUCAGAGAGACUUGCAAUAGGAAACCAAAAUGUUGGUAGCAUAGUAGGAUCCAGUGAUACAAAAAUGCAAUCGGAAGAAAUUGAAACCGCACAUAUUUUCGUAACGGAAUCGAAUGGCAGUGGAACGCGUAGAACACGAUAAAUGACAAUCCAUUUCCGGUCGAACGGUUUCUCUAAGCUGGGAUUCCGCGGGCAUAUCCAUCCACCAACGACAUUGUCGACGACGACAACGGUUCGACGAGAUUAAUUCAUUCCAUUGCACAAUGAUUUUCAAUUUUUCAUUCCGAACACCAGGCACAAGUCAGCCAAGCAUUUGAAGCACUUUCCACGGGAGCUUUGGUUCGAUUGUGCAAUUUUGUGGUGAAGAUUGAAAGCGAUAGAGUACCGUGCUGCAUCAAUACUGGACACUUUUGCCGACGCCAAUGUUUAAAAAUUUGAGCAGGUUUUCUAUAGAAAUAAUGAAUUCUUAUGUAACGAACAAAUCAAUGUUGCUUUUAAAAUAAAUGAUAGUUAGAAAUUCAUAGAACAAAUGUCAAUUUGGAGAAAAUGAGUUGCAAAAUUAUGACUGUGGUUUGAACUAAACCAAAUACUUAUUUUGUCAUUUUAUGGUUCAAAAUGUUUUCUCUCACUUUUAUUUGGUCGGGGUUCUGCUAAACCGCACCAAGUGCCAAAAUCUUUAUUCCGAGAUAUUUUACUUUAAAGUCUUUUCCUGUACUAGUUUAUCGCAGACGAUAAUUUUAAUUUUUUUAUCGCUCACAUACUAUUAACAGUGCUCAAUAAGUACACCGAGAUUAAAUAUACUAAUAAAUCAUCAAGAAUUAACAAUGUGAUUGGAUUUCAUUAAACAAUAUGAAGCACUCAGUGCACUUUGGCUGAACAAAAAUUGAAAAAUAUGGUUCUUGGUUCGGUAUGGUUGUACACAGUAUUCAACAACAUGUAACCGUUUGGUUACAAAUUGUUGAUUUUUGUUGAAUGUCGGACCCUUCACGUUUCUUGUGCAAAAACAGAAGAAAAUUACCACAGGAGUGAUAGGGUCCAGUACCGCUGUAAACGUCUUCGUCCGCUACCAAUUGAUAAUCAUGGUGGAACGAUAGGCAUAAGAAGCGAGAUAGCAUGUGAAAAGGUAAAAUAAGACGGAAUGUGGGAAACUGAAAACUCAGUAGCCAUUGCCCAAAUUCGGCAGCUAUUUUAAUUAGGCGUCCGUGUGCUUAUGACGUGGUUUACACGCUAACUUAAAAGUACCCUUAAAAUGAGUACCAUGUACCCAUUAUUAUGAACUGUAUGGAAAUGUCAGAAGAAGGGUAUUUUCCAAUGACAUGAAAAAGGGUACUUGAGCCCCAUUAUAAGGUAUGCUCACUCGCAAAAUUAAUGGGUAAAUAGUACACGGUAUAGCUUACCACCAUCAAUGUCUCAAUGUUGCUGUUUUGAUUCGGAUCCAAAAUUUAACGAAAAAAAUGUUGCUCAACGUGGAAGUCAUUCUGCUCAGUUAGUUCUUUUUACAGAUACGUAAGUAAUAGCGGUGAUUUUUUUCCGGAAUGAUAAGUUUUACGAAUUGCUCCUUUUUUCACAUUUCAGCAUUCUUCAGAUUCCAUACUGUUCGCUACAGCCAUUCCCGAGUACAAAAUUUGACCUUCCGGCUGGUUCCAAUGAGGAUGUUUUGGAGUGUAUUCGCGUCUUCACCACUUAAGUGUUUGGUUUCCGCAAGGGGAUAUAUAUGAGUAAUAAAUAUAUUAUAUUGUA